AGGGGGCUAGCGGUGCUCGGAAUGACUGGGCGUAAAGGGUGCGUAGGCGGAUCUUUAAGUCAGGGGUGAAAUCCCGGGGCUCAACCCCGGAACUGCCUUUGAUACUGGGUGUCUCGAGUCCGGAAGAGGUGAGUGGAAUUCCGAGUGUAGAGGUGAAAUUCGUAGAUAUUCGGAGGAACACCAGUGGCGAAGGCGGCUCACUGGUCCGGUACUGACGCUGAGGUGCGAAAGCGUGGGGAGCAA
rnacentral:rRNA from 1 species